rnacentral:lncRNA from 1 species
CUGGUUUCGCCUUCAACCACAGCGACAUCGGCGGCUACUGUUCAGUGAACAUCCCCGUCGUCAGAUACCGCCGGAGCGAGGAGCUCCUUCUCCGCUGGAUGGAGCUGAACGCCUUCAACACCGUUUUCCGGACCCACGAGGCAAGCCUGCUGCUCUCUUCCCCUCUUCCCAUCUUCCAUUAAGCUUCCUCUCCAACCGGUUCAAGCCCACCGGGGGUCCUGAAAACCUAAUCCCAGCAGGGAAACAAGCCGUCCUCCAACUGCCAGUUCUACUCCAACCACAGAACGCUGGCCCAUUUCGCCCGCUUCGCCAAGGUCUACAGGGCGUGGAAGUUCUACAGAGUUCAGCUCGUGAAGG